AUUCCCGCCUGUCUCUCUCUCUCUGGAUUCUUCGACGAUUUAGGGUUUCUUCUUCACGAGUAGCGAGAGACUUGAGUAUCAGAUUCCUGAAUCCUGGAACUCGUGAUUCCAAGCUACCCGUCGCUUUAAUGUUUAGAGUUCUACACAGUCGUCAGGUUUAGAUGCGUACUCUGUUUCACUUGAGUAUCAAAGGUUUAAGCUGCUAGUAGUUGUCGCUCUAUAAGAGUGACUCCAGUUUUAGCACUUGUGUCCGCAAAGUGGGAUAGAGAGCAGGGGUAGAGAAAGCUGCUGGAUAAUGGCUUUCUUCCCCUUUUGAUGCAAGAAAAGAGCAAGGAAGUUGGUGUAUACGAGCUGUAUAGCUCUCUACUUCGAAGACGAAGCAUGGGUCGGGUUAAUAAUUUCCUUUGGGGCGGUUUAGCGGCUCCUGGAUGAAUCUGGAGCUGACACUUUGAUGCUUCCACUCUGUUGGUCCAUCCUGUGUUGGCGGAGAAAGUAGUGUUCUUGCGACCCCCGGGGCAUUCGACUGGUUCUGCCUGUAAGAUGAAGGCGAGCAAACGAUGUCUGUGGAUGCUUGCUCUUCCUUUGAGUUAUGUUCAAGACUUGCCUAGUUGUUGCCGUGCCGUCGCAGUUUCACUCGUCCUAAAAGUUAAUUUAUGCAGGAAAUAGCCGCUAAUGUUGAGUGUGUCGGUAUUACCACGACUAUUUGGGGCAAUAACCAAAUUGAAUGUGGUUGAAGAUAGGGUGCUUGGUUGGAGGCGGGGGACAUGUCAUCUCCCUUGCACCAAUUUCCCCCCGUGUGAAUAUUUCCGCAAAACCAAUCUACUGCUUCAGGCUUCCAUAGAUUGCAAGAUUUGCAGCUCACAAAUAGAGAAUGACCUGGUUAUGUGCUUGAUGUAUUACUCUCAACUCUAUCCACAUGGGGUGCACGGGAGAUGACAUGAUUUAUUUGGUUUUCAUCGAGAAGGGGCCAUCUCUUCCUGCAAGAUGAUUCAAUUGGUGUUAAUUCUGAGAUAGUGUAAAGUAUGACCAUUCAUUGGGAUUCUGUCUUGUGUGGUUAUCUCUUUUAGCAUA